rnacentral:misc_RNA from 1 species
AAGUCGUAACAAGGUUUCCGUAGGUGAACCUGCGGAAGGAUCAUUAACAAAUUCAUACAUACAUGUUGCCUUUCAAGGGAGGUGCAAGCCUUUCUUGGAAGUGUUACACACACACACUCACACUAGAUUGACAACACACAAUUGAUACCAUUCAAGGUUAAUUAUAGACAACUUUUAACAAUGGAUCUCUUGGCUCUU